rnacentral:rRNA from 1 species
GACGAACGCUGGCGGCGUGCUUAACACAUGCAAGUCGAACGGAAAGGCCCUGCUUUUGUGGGGUGCUCGAGUGGCGAACGGGUGAGUAACACGUGAGUAACCUGUCCUUGACUUUGGGAUAACUUCAGGAAACUGGGGCUAAUACCGGAUAGGAGCUACUGCUGCAUGGUGGGGGUUGGAAAGAUUCGGCGGUUGGGGAUGGACUCGCGGCUUAUCAGCUUGUUGGUGGGGUAGGGGCUUACCAAGGCUUUGACGGGUAGCCCGCCUUGGAGGGUGGCCGGCGUCCAUGGUCCUGCGGUACGGCCCAGUCUCCUACGUGAGGCAGCGGGCGGGAACCUUGCACAAUGGGCCGAAGCCUGAGGUAGCAACCCCGCGUUCGUGAUGCUCUGUUUCGGGUUGUAAACCGCUUUCUCCUUUGCCGAAGCCUGCGUGACGGUAAUGGGUAAAGAAGCCCCGGCUAACUACGUG